CACACUGGACUGAGACACGGUCCAGACUCCUACGGGAGGCAGCAGUGGGGAAUAUUGCACAAUGGGCGCAAGCCUGAUGCAGCCAUGCCGCGUGUAUGAAGAAGGCCUUCGGGUUGUAAAGUACUUUCAGCAGUGAGGAAGGUGUUGUAGUUAAUAACUGCAUCAUUUGACGUUAGCUGCAGAAGAAGCACCGGCUAACUCCGUGCCAGCAGCCGCGGUAAUACGGAGGGUGCGAGCGUUAAUCGGAAUUACUGGGCGUAAAGCGCAUGCAGGUGGAUGAUUAAGUCAGAUGUGAAAGCCCGGGGCUCAACCUCGGAAUUGCAUUUGAAACUGGUUAUCUAGAGUACUGUAGAGGGGGGUAGAAUUUCAGGUGUAGCGGUGAAAUGCGUAGAGAUCUGAAGGAAUACCGGUGGCGAAGGCGGCCCCCUGGACAGAUACUGACACUCAGAUGCGAAAGCGUGGGGAGCAAACAGGAUUAGAUACCCUGGUAGUCCACGCCGUAAACGAUGUCUACUUGGAGGUUGUGGCCUUGAGCCGUGGCUUUCGGAGCUAACGCGUUAAGUAGACCGCCUGGGGAGUACGGUCGCAAGAUUAAAACUCAAAUGAAUUGACGGGGGCCCGCACAAGCGGUGGAGCAUGUGGUUUAAUUCGAUGCAACGCGAAGAACCUUACCUACUCUUGACAUCCAGAGAACUUUCCAGAGAUGGAUUAGUGCCUUCGGGAACUCUGAGACAGGUGCUGCAUGGCUGUCGUCAGCUCGUGUU
rnacentral:rRNA from 1 species